GAUGAACGCUGGCGGCGUGCCUAAUACAUGCAAGUCGAGCGAACAGAUGAGGAGCUUGCUCCUCUGACGUUAGCGGCGGACGGGUGAGUAACACGUGGAUAACCUACCUAUAAGACUGGGAUAACUUCGGGAAACCGGAGCUAAUACCGGAUAAUAUAUUUAACCGCAUGGUUCAAUAGUGAAAGACGGUUUUGCUGUCACUUAUAGAUGGAUCCGCGCCGCAUUAGCUAGUUGGUAAGGUAACGGCUUACCAAGGCAACGAUGCGUAGCCGACCUGAGAGGGGGAUCGGCCACACUGGAACUGAGACACGGUCCAGACUCCUACGGGAGGCAGCAGUAGGGAAUAUUCCGCAAUGGGCGAAAGCCUGACGGAGCAACGCCGCGUGAGUGAUGAAGGUCUUCGGAUCGUAAAACUCUGUUAUUAGGGAAGAACAAAUGUGUAAGUAACUAUGCACGUCUUGACGGUACCUAAUCAGAAAGCCACGGCUAACUACGUG
rnacentral:rRNA from 1 species